rnacentral:rRNA from 1 species
GGUUUGAUCAUGGCUCAGAUUGAACGCUGGCGGGAUGUUUUACACAUGCAAGUCCGGAGCUUGGCAGCACGGACUUCGGUCUGGUGGCGAGUGGCGAACAGGUGAGAGUAAUGUAUCGGAACGUGCCUAGUAGCGGGGGAUAACUACGCGGCGGCGCUAGCUAGCCACCGCAUACGCCCUUCGGGGAAAGCGGGGGACCUUCGGGCCUCGCACUAUUAGAGCGGCCGAUAUCGGAUUAGCUAGUUGGUGGGGUAACGGCUCACCAAGGCGACGAUCCGUAGCUGGUUUGAGAGGACGACCAGCCACACUGGGACUGAGACACGGCCCAGACUCCUACAGGAGGCAGCAGUGGGGAAUUUUGGACAAUGGGGAAACCUGAUCCAGCCAUCCCGCGCAUGUGCGAUGAAGCCUUCGGGUUGUAAAGCACUUUUGGCAGGAAAGAAACGGCACGGGAUAAUACCCCGUGCAACUGACAGUACCUGCAGAAUAGCACCGGCUAACUACGUGCCAACAGCCGCGGUAAUACGUAGUGCAAGCGUUAAUCGGAAUUACUGGGCGUAAAGCGUGCGCAGGCGGUUCGGAAAGAAAGAUGUGAAAUACCAGAGCUUAACUUUGGAACUGCAUUUUAACUACCGAGCUAGAGUGUGUCAGAGGAGGUGGAAUUCCACGCGUGUAGCAGUGAAAUGCGUAGAUAUGCGGAGGAACACCGAUGGCGAAGGCAGCCUCCUGGGAUAACGACGCUCAUGCACGAAAAGCGUGGGAGCAAACAGGAUUAGAUACCCUGUUAGUCCACGCCCUAAACGAUGUCAACUAGCUGUUGGGGCCUUCGGGCCUUGGUAGCGCAACUAACGCGUGAAGUUGACCGCCUGGGAGUACGGUCGCAAGAUUAAAACUCAAAGGAAUUGACGGGGACCCGCACAAGCGGUGGAUGAUGUGGAUUAAUUCGAUGCAACGCGAAAAACCUUACCUACCUUGACAUGUCUGGAAUCCCGAAGAGAUUUGGGAGUGCUCGCAAGAGAACCGGAACACAGGUGCUGCAUGGCUGUCGUCAGCUCGUGUCGUGAGAUGUUGGGUUAAGUCCCGCAACGAGCGCAGCCGCUUGUGUUGAGUUGCUACGAAAGGGCACUCUAAUGGGACUGCCGGUGACAAACCGGAGGAAGGUGGGGAUGACGUCAAGUCCUCAUGGCCCUUAUGGGUAGGGCCACGUCAUACAAUGGUCGGGACAGAGGGUCGCCAACCCGCGAGGAGCCAAUCCCCCGAAACCCGAUCGUAGUCCGGAUCGCAGUCUGCAACUCGACUGCGUGGAAGUCGGAAUCGCUAGUAAUCGCGGAUCAGCAUGUCGCGGUGAAUACGUUCCCGGGUCUUGUACACACCUUGCGUCACACCAUGGGAGUGGGUUUUACCAAGUAGUUAGCCUAACCGUAAGGAGGGCGAUUACCACAUUAGGAUUCAUGACUGGGGUAAGUCGUAACAAGGUAAGC